rnacentral:lncRNA from 1 species
AAAGCAGAUUAUUGGUUUUCUUUUUAACAGUUAAAGGCUCUAGAAUAUCUAGACACUACUCAAACUCCUAUCUCCGAGUAUGCACAUGUUUUGAGUGUGAAAAGUUAAUUGGUCAUUCCCGAGGGCACUGUUUCUUUCAAGCCGUGCUGGGUAGCCUACCUGUUACCUGACAAGCAACGGUGAUGGGUGUGGUUGGAUUGGGACAAAAGCCCUUUGCCCUGUUAUGACUUGCCUGAGAAAGUUGAGAGAAAAUAAAAAAAGAGGCAGGUAUAAGGACAAACCACUUCACUACCCUGCAACAGUAACAUCAACAACAUUCACUACCUGACGGAUAUCAGUUGGACUAUCUUAGUGGAUUUUUAUUUAUCUUCUUCAGAAGUUGACUGAAGAUUCUCCUAUUGACACACACUAAAGAUAACAUGGGAUGGAUGAUUUAACAACAAGAAAGAGAAACCACUCAGGAGGAAGCUCCGGGGGAAAGGUUGUGACAGAAACUACAACCUCGACAAGUAGAUUGGUAUCUUUACCUCCAAGUAAGUUUUCUGUACUCUUAAAAUUCCCCUCAAACUGUUAAAUUGUUUGAUUAAAGGUAUUGGUAAUGCAGUUUUGUAAUAAUUUGAUUAUCAUUUCACACUAUGUUUUUGUGAAUAUUCUGAGAGUUGGACUGCUCUAACACAUUGAAAGAACUGUUGAAGAAUGUGGCCAUGUAUCUCUUUAUCUACCAGAGGGUGGCAGUGGAUCAAAAAGUAGUACCCACAGGACUAUGUCUAGCAAUGCUGGAGGCCUGUGGUUGGAAAAGAACAUUUUAACCCAGAACAGCAGUGGAACUAACUUUUCCUCAUGUGAGAAUAGAUCUGUUAAAAUGUUAAUUUGUACAUUUUUAAUCUGGAACAUGGACAUUAGGCUAUGACUAUAA